UACGGGGGGGGCAAGCGUUGUUCGGAAUUACUGGGCGUAAAGGGCGCGUAGGCGGCCUUCUAAGUCGGACGUGAAAUCCCUCGGCUUAACCGAGGAACUGCGUCCGAUACUGAAAGGCUUGAAUCCGGGAGAGGGAUGUGGAAUUCCAGGUGUAGCGGUGAAAUGCGUAGAUAUCUGGAGGAACACCGGUGGCGAAGGCGGCAUCCUGGACCGGUAUUGACGCUGAGGCGCGAAAGCUAGGGGAGCAAACCGG
rnacentral:rRNA from 1 species